UACGUAGGUGGCAAGCGUUGUCCGGAUUUACUGGGCGUAAAGAGCGCGCAGGCGGUCGAGUAAGUCGAGUGUGAAAGCCCCCGGCUCAACUGGGGAGGGUCAUUCGAUACUGAUCGACUCGAAGGCAGGAGAGGGUAGUGGAAUUCCCGGUGUAGUGGUGAAAUGCGUAGAUAUCGGGAGGAACACCAGUGGCGAAGGCGACUACCUGGCCUGUUCUUGACGCUGAGGCGCGAAAGCUAGGGGAGCAAACAGG
rnacentral:rRNA from 1 species